CUACCAUGCAGUCGAACGAAGCCAUUAAUUUCGGUUAAGGGCUUAGUGGCGGACGGGUGAGUAACGCGUGAGGAACCUGCCUUACAGAGGGGGAUAAUGUCUGGAAACGGACACUAAUACCGCAUGAUAUUCCAGCAUCACAUGAUGCAGGGAUCAAAGGAGCAAUCCGCUGUAAGAUGGACUCGCGUCCGAUUAGCUAGAUGGUGAGAUAAAAGCCCACCAUGGCGACGAUCGGUAGCCGGACUGAGAGGUUGAACGGCCACAUUGGGACUGAGACACGGCCCAGACUCCUACGGGAGGCAGCAGUGGGGGAUAUUGCACAAUGGAGGAAACUCUGAUGCAGCAACGCCGCGUGAAGGAAGACGGUCUUCGGAUUGUAAACUUUUGUACUCAGGGACGAUAAUGACGGUACCUGAGCAGCAAGCUCCGGCUAACUACGUGCCAGCAGCCGCGGUAAUACGUAGGGAGCGAGCGUUGUCCGGAUUUACUGGGUGUAAAGGGUGCGUAGGCGGCAGGACAAGUCAGCUGUGAAAACUAUGGGCUUAACCCAUAGCCUGCAGUUGAAACUGUUCUGCUUGAGUGAAGUAGAGGUAGGUGGAAUUCCCGGUGUAGCGGUGAAAUGCGUAGAGAUCGGGAGGAACACCAGUGGCGAAGGCGGCCUACUGGGCUUUAACUGACGCUGAGGCACGAAAGCAUGGGUAGCAAACAGGAUUAGAUACCCUGGUAGUCCAUGCUGUAAA
rnacentral:rRNA from 1 species